AUUGAACGCUGGCGGCAGGCCUAACACAUGCAAGUCGAACGAGUGGCGGACGGGUGAGUAAUGUCUGGGAAACUGCCUGAUGGAGGGGGAUAACUACUGGAAACGGUAGCUAAUACCGCAUACCAUCGGAUGUGCCCAGAUGGGAUUAGCUAGUAGGUGGGGUAAAGGCUCACCAAGGCGACGAUCCCUAGCUGGGCUGAGAGGAUGACCAGCCACCCUGGAACAUAGACACGGUCCAGACUCCGACGGUAGGCAGCAUGUGGGAAUAUUUCACAAUGGGCGCAAGCCUUAUGCAGCCAUGCCGCGUGGAUGAAGAAGGCCUUCGGGUUGUAAAGUACUGUCAGCGGGGAGGCGUUACCCGCAGAAGAAGCACCGGCUAACUCCGUGCCAGCAGCCGCGGUAAUUC
rnacentral:rRNA from 1 species